GUAGCGCGUUAGCCACCCAGCAUUGAGCUGCCAGCGGCUGUUCUCCCUAAGCACCCUCGCUCACGUCGCCUCGUCUCGCCUCGCCUGACCGGCCGCAGCCUUGGAUACCAGCCUUAAAUCGAGCCGACGACGGCCCAGCCCCGCCUGCGGCGAGGUGCGCGGGAUUCGGUGCCAGCCGCUCGCCCCUGGCCGGGCCAGCCUCUUGAUGCACCGGGGACGGGCGCGCCCAUCCGACUCUUCGAGGGGCGGCAGGGCCCUAUCUGUGUCUUUCGCUCGCGAGCCCCCAGCUAGAGUUGGCUUCAGCGGAAUACCUACUGUGCAGGAUUAUUCAACAAGCCGAUUGAUCACAUUCUUCAGCUCUAGCAGUGCAAAGGCUUUACUGAAAAAGAACAUUACAAAUUUUUUUUGAAAGAAAUUUGGGGGUAAAUUUAAUUUUAAAUACUGAUUUUUGAUAACAUUUGAUCUUAUGACAGCAUUUGUAUUUUUAAUUACAGAUAGGAUUACACUAAAAGUCAUUUCUGACCUGCUCCCUUACCCUUAUGGCUAAAAUAAACUGUUAGGCCCUGAAGCAAAGGCGAGCCAUGUUCUAGAGCAGUGUCUUUCUUGUAUUAAAAUACGGCCCCAUGCUCA
rnacentral:lncRNA from 1 species